CCUACGGGUGGCAGCAGUAGGGGAUAUUGGACAAUGGGCGCAAGCCUGAUGCAGCGACACCGCGUGAGCGAAGAAGUAUUUCGGAAUGUAAAGCUCUAUCAGCAGGGAAGAAAAUGACGGUACCGGAAUAAGUAGCUACGGUUAAAUCCGUGCCAGCAGCCGGGGUAAUACGGAUGGAGAAAGCGUUAUCCGGAUUUAAUGGGUGUAAAGGGAGCGUAGGCGGGCCUGUAAGUAUGAUGGUAAAAUUUGGGGCUCAACCCCAAACGUGCUCUGGAAACUGCAGGGCUUGAGUGCCGGAGAGGCAGGCGGAAUUCCUAGUGUAGCGGUGAAAUGCGUAGAUAUUAGGAAGAACACCAGUGGCGAAGGCGGCCUGCUGGACGGUUACUGACGCUGAGGCUCGAAAGCGUGGGGAGCAAACAGGAUUAGAUACCCCUGUAGUC
rnacentral:rRNA from 1 species